GUACGCUGAUCAUCCGUGCAGUAAAUGUCCGACAACCAAUGGAAGAAGGAAAAGAACAAAGAACACAAAUGGCCCAGAAAGUUUCCUGGUGGAAGCUCUCUUGAUGAACUUCCAUGGCGUCGGCUUCUUACUUCCCCAACAUUCUUGGAGGGCCCUCUAUCCUCUACAGCAGCUGCCGCAGAAACUCUUCUUUGCCCCAUCAGUGUCAGAGUUUGAGAAGCAAUGACCUGCUGCUGCUACCGUUCUGUGGAAGAUUUGGCCGUCGGAGCAGCAGGAUUGAGCGGUCCUCGAGGCUCUCCACGGUCUCCUGCUCCGCGGUUAAUAAGCCCUCUCCCCCUUCCUCUGAAGCCAGCUCUGCAGCCAAGAUUCGAAGUGAAGUUCUCUCCCCAUUCCGCUCUGUUCGCAUGUUCUUCUACCUCGCUUUCAUUGCAAGUGGUGGUCUUGGAGGACUAAUCGCCAUCUCCCAGUUGAUUGGAGCUCUAGCCAAUCCUGCAAGAGCCGACCAAGUCCCUGACAUCCUCAAAGGACUUGCCAUAGAUGCAGGCGCCGUGUCUAUCUUUGCUUUCCUCUAUUCAAGGGAGAAUAGCGCCAAGGAGGCUCAAAUUGCAAAGCUUUCAAGAGAGGAGAGCCUCUCCAAUCUAAAACUCCGAGUGGACGAGAAGAGAGUGAUUCCACUUAGCUCGCUGAGAGGGGCUGCUCGACUUGUUAUUUGUGCCGGUCCUGCAUCCUUCCUUUCAGAGGCUUUCAAGCUCAGUGAACCUUACACUCAGGGGCUUUUAGAUCGAGGAGUGCUUGUGGUGCCUUUUGCUACAGAUGGGAACUCGCCCGAUUUUGAGUUUGAUGAGAGUGAGGAAAUGGAGGAGGUUACGGGCAAAAGGAAGCAGCUUUGGCAGUUGUCUCCAGCCUUUAUUCCCGAGUGGUCCAAGUGGUUAGAUGAACAAAAGAAACUCGCCGGAGUAUCUUCUGAGUCGCCAGUGUACUUAUCUUUACGAAUGGACGGCCGUGUUCGUGGGAGUGGAGUUGGUUACCCGCCAUGGAAUGCAUUUGUUGUGCAACUUCCACCAGUCAAAGGGCUGUGGUCAGGACUUCUUGAUGGAAUGGAUGGCAGAGUGCUCUGAGAAGAUCUAAUCUUCACCACAAAGGUGCACUUCUGCUGAAUUUUGCCUGUCCCAACUUUGAGAUUCGCCCCCUGCCACAUCCCAGCAAGAGAUGACGUGCGACAUCCUCGACCCCUCUCCUAUAGAUCUCCUUUUGAUCGUACAUUCAUUUUGUAAUGGAGAAAGGGAAGCCUCGAUGAUUAUGUCGGUUGGGAUAUUUCACUUGAAUCGGGGGUUGUCUGAUCUGUAAGCAGUUUCUUAUAAAUUAAUGGUGAUUGCCUUAUGCUGACGAACUUUCAAUUCAGUGCCGGAGAAGAUACAUGGUUUUCCCUUUUCCUCUCCCCCUCGUCAUGCAUUACCUCCAUCUACGAUACAUAGGCAAACUACUAGUGACAUAAUCAAAAGGAUAUAAUGCAGUGGCGCAUACCCUCGUCUGUACUCAAAUCAUUGCCUAAAACGGAACAGAAGAGAAGAAGAGGAUCGAGCCAACAAGACCCUUCCCAACUAUUAAACGUGGAAGAGGUUAAGAGCUAUAGCUGUUUUACUACUAUGAUUGAUUAGCUUAUUGCCUGUCACUCGACUUCUUGGAUCACGUCCAGUGCAUAGUUGUUUGUGGAGACACUACAAAGUUAACUUUGUCAAAACGGACCACGACCGGGUACUGGCUCUUCGGGUCCUGCUCAAUCAAAUUUUUGUUUGAACCAAA